rnacentral:rRNA from 1 species
GCCCCGGUAAACGGCGGCCGUAACUAUAACGGUCCUAAGGUAGCGAAAUUCCUUGUCGGGUAAGUUCCGACCUGCACGAAUGGCGUAAUGAUGGCCAGGCUGUCUCCACCCGAGACUCAGUGAAAUUGAACUCGCUGUGAAGAUGCAGUGUACCCGCGGCAAGACGGAAAGACCCCGUGAACCUUUACUAUAGCUUGACACUGAACACUGGUCCUUGAUGUGUAGGAUAGGUGGGAGGCUUUGAAGCGUGGACGCCAGUCUGCGUGGAGCCAACCUUGAAAUACCACCCUUUAAUGGCUGGUGUUCUAACGUAGACCCGUAAUCCGGGUUGCGGACAGUGUCUGGUGGGUAGUUUGACUGGGGCGGUCUCCUCCCAAAGAGUAACGGAGGAGCACGAAGGUUGGCUAAUCCUGGUCGGACAUCAGGAGGUUAGUGCAAUGGCAUAAGCCAGCUUGACUGCGAGCGUGACGGCGCGAGCAGGUGCGAAAGCAGGUCAUAGUGAUCCGGUGGUUCUGAAUGGAAGGGCCAUCGCUCAACGGAUAAAAGGUACUCCGGGGAUAACAGGCUGAUACCGCCCAAGAGUUCAUAUCGACGGCGGUGUUUGGCACCUCGAUGUCGGCUCAUCACAUCCUGGGGCUGAAGUAGGUCCCAAGGGUAUGGCUGUUCGCCAUUUAAAGUGGUACGCGAGCUGGGUUUAGAACGUCGUGAGACAGUUCGGUCCCUAUCUGCCGUGGGCGCUGGAGAAUUGAGGGGGGCUGCUCCUAGUACGAGAGGACCGGAGUGGACGCAUCACUGGUGUUCGGGUUGUCAUGCCAAUGGCACU